rnacentral:rRNA from 1 species
UACGUUCCCGGGCCUUGUACACACCGCCCGUCACGUCACGAAAGUCAGCAACACCCGAAGCCGGUGGCCUAACCCGUAAGGGAGGGAGCCGUCGAAGGUGGGGUCGGCGAUUGGGACG